rnacentral:rRNA from 1 species
GACAGAGGGUGCAAACGUUGCUCGGAAUCACUGGGCGUAAAGGGCGUGUAGGCGGGAAGGAUAGUCAGAUGUGAAAGCCCUGGGCUCAACCCAGGAACUGCAUUUGAUACUGAGGAUCUUGAGUUCGGGAGAGGUGAGUGGAACUGCGAGUGUAGAGGUGAAAUUCGUAGAUAUUCGCAAGAACACCAGUGGCGAAGGCGGCUCACUGGCCCGAUACUGACGCUGAGGCACGAAAGCGUGGGGAGCAAACAGG